AUGCCUGAUCCAGAAUUUAAAGCAACAAUCAUAGGGAUACUCACUAGACUUGAGAAAUGAAUGGAAGACAUCAGUAAGACCCUUACCACAGAGAUAAAAUAGUUAACAAGGAGCCAAUCAGAAAUGAAGAAUGC